rnacentral:lncRNA from 1 species
UAAAGAGACCUAUAUCAUCUAAAUCAUUUCCAAAAAAAUCCAAAUUUUAAGAAGGUAAAUAAAAUAAUUAUGAAAUUAACCAUCUCAUUAUGGUUGAUGUGUUGAAAUAUUUUAUUUUAAAUAGAAAAAAAAACCCAUGAGUUUAACAUACCCUGUCUCCUUUAUAAUCUUGGGCAAGUAAUUUAAGCUCUCUGACCUCAGUUUUCUUAUCUAUAAAGCAACAACAAGAUUUGUUUCAUAGAAAUUUUUGGAAGAUUAAGUAAAAUGGUAUCUACAAAGUGGUCAGCAGAGUGAUAAAAGCAGGUGAUCGGUAUUUUAAUACUAUAUGUGGAAUUUUAAAAACAGUUAAAAUUGUACAUUCAUCCUACAUUAGGUGACCUGGGGUAUAUUUUUAUAUUAUAAACUCUUAUUUUAUCAUCUCUAAGUUAUCAUUGAUUUUAUGAUGCACUAUUACUUUGUGUAUCACUAAGAAAAAUAAUAACUGUCAAACUAUGACACAAUGCUCAGAUGCCACCGUUUGUAAGAUAAAUCCAAAUUUCAAAAGGGCUAGAAUUUGAGAAGCACGCAUCUUAAAAUGAUUACAUAUAGAGUUCUAGAUUUCUUAUUUUAAAUUAUAUGUAGGAUACAUUUUAACAUAGUUGACAUUAAGUUCUUAUUAAAGUUCUACAUGAAGACAUGUCCUGUUUUAUAUGUCUGAAAUAUUAAAAAGGAUACAUGAUUAUAUUGUAAUUUUUAUAGAAAUGGUUCAAUCCCACUAUGAUGUUCAUCAGGUCAUAGAUUUGCUUACUUCAUCCUCCCAAGUAGAAGUAAAUUCUUUAAGGGCAAGGAUCUUAUCACGAAUUGCUAUACAACAUCUCUAUCAUUCAGCACCUAGACUUAAUUUAUAGUAGAUAUUCCAUACAUAUUUUAAUUGGUUUAUGAAAGUGUCUUCAUAGACACUAAAAUUAUAGUCAUUUAACAGUGAUUAAAUUGUCUCAUAUUAGUGUUUUUGUUUUUGCUUGUUUGAAUUUGUUCAUUAAAUAUUGUACCAUACAUGAGACAAUUGAUAUUUCUUCUUAGACUUGAACUUGGUGACAGACCCCAGACCCUAUUGAUUUCUAUUUACUCAAAUAAAUGCAACACUUGGUGAUUAGAGAAACACGGUAACUGUUUCUUUGUGGAUGAACAAAUGAUUUUGACUUUAGAAUGCCUCUGUGUCAUUGAGAGCCAGACAUGAUAUCAAGCAUUGCCUAAGCAUACCCCUGAAAUGAUGCCUAAUCUCUUAUUUUUAUCUGGUUUCCUAGGAAGCGGUGGCUUUGUCUUCACAUUUUGUGUAGCCAUACUGUUAAAGCCUGCUGGAUUUUCAGGGGCCACUGCUGAUCCUCAAGCUCUGAAUGUCAGCCAAUUAGUGGAGAAGUUUUCCAUGGCUGCUGCCCUAACCAGGCUUCCUGUCUGACAGCCCCAUUCUCAGCCUCAACCAGGGAGUUGAUUAACUGUGGGAUGAGGAACUUGCAGAUACUGAGGGCCAACUGUUUUAUAUCUGCUAUAUGGACAUGAGAAAGGCAAAGAAUAACAAAAGUGAAAUCAGUGAUUUCAAAUAAUUAUCUAAGAGGUGCUUAACAAUAGCUUAUUCCAACAAAGAGCUACACUCGAGGCUAUUAAUAGAGCAAGUAUUUGGAACAAUGAGAUGCAGAGAGCACCCAGCUUCAGCUGAUGGCUCUGAGGAAGACCUCGAUUUUUACAGGUGAUACCAUUUGUGCAGGGAUACUUCCAAUUAUUUAAUAUUUUGUUUUAAGAGUAAAAGAAGAGACAAAGAAGGUAUAUGAUUAUAAUAGCAAGAAAAUAAGCAUCACAGUGAACAUAAGGAAUCUCCCAAGUUCCAAGAAGUGUGUCUGGCAUACAGUAGGUAAUUUAUUAAUAUGAUAAUUCAUGAAUUAAAACUUAAAUGGUAAUUUAUUAAUGGAAAAGGAAUAAAUGGAAAUAUUUUUAUCCUCUUGUACAAGUUUGAUCUGUAAACACUUUGUGUAAAUCAAUGCACAGUUGUGUCACUUUUAGAACAAUUUUCCUAAAGUUGAUGGUGAUGAAUUCUAGGGCUGUGUAAGAAGACAAAUGAUCUCUGCCCCAGCAGGAAAAGUCUAGCUCUCUUUUUGUACAGAAAGGAGAGAAUGGAGCUCGUCAGUACUACUGGAUAGUUUUGUUGCCACUCAUUCUUUUCAAAAAUGGUGUAUUUAUAAGUGACAAUUUGUCCCAAUUAUUUCAAGAUAGACUAAAAAAAAAAAAAAUCUAACACUAAAUGGCAAAACUUUCCAAACAUUAAAUCAUAAGAACAGGCAGAGUGUGAUGACAAGAAUAAAAAAGAAGGGCCGGGUGCAGUGGCUCAUGCCUGUAAUCCCAGCA